CAUAGAUUCAUAUCGUCAAGAUCAGAGGGUGGUCAUCACAAUGUGAAGUUUGUGGAGAAAAUGCGACAUUCACCGAAAAGCAAUUUCAAGAGUUUGACUAUGAGAAAUUCACACAAUCUCCCCUGUCCAUGUUUGCUGAUCUGCUAUACUAAUCUGCUAUUCUUCUGGUGCUGCUGUGUUGUUGCUGCUGUUGCUGAGAUGCUGUGGUGAUGCUGCUGUGAUGGUGAUUGUUACGAUGAGGUGUUGCGGUGUUGUUGUUGGAUGUUUGCUGGUGUUGUUGAUGUUUGGAAGGGUGCAGGACUUUUUGUCCAAUCUGUAAUAGAUUAGGUUUUCAUUAAUGGGGGUUGUCAUUAGGUGUAAGUUCGAGCAACUGCUGGUGUUUUGGAUGGAAGGGUAUG